GAUGAACGCUAGCGGCAGGCUUAAUACAUGCAAGUCGAACGGUAACAGCAGAGUUUACUUUGGCUGACGAGUGGCGAACGGGUGAGUAACGCGUACACAAUCUACCUCUGAGAGGGGCAUAGUCUAUGGAAACGUAGAAUAAUACCCCAUGGUAUCUCGAAAUCGCAUGGUUUUGGGAUUAAAGCUUCGGUGCUUAGAGAUGAGUGUGCGUCCUAUUAGUUAGAUGGUAGUGUAACGGACUACCAUGACUAUGAUAGGUAGGGGGCGUGAGAGCGUGGACCCCCACACGGGUACUGAGACACGGACCCG
rnacentral:rRNA from 1 species